UCUACUUUCUCUCUUUAUAAAUUUCUUUCUCUGUGAUAUUCUCUCUCUUCAUAGAUUUCUGCUUCUAGAAAUCCUAUGGAUCAAGAGAGUCCAGAUAUCUAGGUACACUCUGAUUGACUAGUUAAUCCUGAGAGAGGCCUUAAAUCUAUAGUGUUAUGAUUGAAUUAUUGUAAUUUUCUACUAUCCAUAAUUAUCUAUAAUUUUUAUAUUUCAUCUUGAUUAUAUAG
rnacentral:lncRNA from 1 species